CUCAUUGUAAGAAGCCAUUUGGGGCCACAAUUCCCCUGCUCUGUAUGCAUCAUUUGGGGGUGAGGAGGUGGUUUCUCUCAUUAUUUCCAGACUGGAAGACCCUCCUUGUAAGUGAUUAUUUGGAGUCCAAAGCUCUGUUCCUCCCUUCUAGCGGACCUGGCGCUCAGAUCCUGACCUGCUCUGGCCUGAAAAGAAAGGCACAAAAGGGAGGCAAGAACCGUAUGAGGUGUUAUUCUUUGUUUUUCUCAGCCCACCUGGAAUAUUCUAAGAUGCGAGAAUACAAAGAAAGAACUGAUUAGAAAACAUGGAGGAACCAAACAAGAGAAGGUGACAAGACAAAUGUCAUCUUGGGAAGGAGAAAUAAGACUUCUAACUCUGGAAGACUGCAGACACGAUUUAGAAGGCUCUAUGGUAUAACCCACUAGACACUGUGCAUUCUAUCUUUCGUUAAUAUUCUGGUAAUGAACGUAAAUGCCAUAUAA